GACGAACCGAGCGAACGUUGUUCGGAUUUACUGGGCGUAAAGGGCGCGUAGGCGGCCACCGCAAGUCGACUGUGAAAUCUCCGGGCUUAACUCGGAAAGGUCAGCCGAUACUGCGGGGCUAGAGUGCAGAAGGGGCAACUGGAAUUCUCGGUGUAGCGGUGAAAUGCGUAGAUAUCGAGAGGAACACCUGCGGCGAAGGCGGGUUGCUGGGCUGACACUGACGCUGAGGCGCGAAAGCUAGGGGAGCGAACGGG
rnacentral:rRNA from 1 species